rnacentral:rRNA from 1 species
GAUGAACGCUGGCGGCGUGCCUAAUACAUGCCAGUCGAGCGAACAGAUGAGGAGCUUGCUCCUCUGACGUUAGCGGCGGACGGGUGAGUAACACGUGGAUAACCUACCUAUAAGACUGGGAUAACUUCGGGAAACCGGAGCUAAUACCGGAUAAUAUAUUGAACCGCAUGGUUCAAUAGUGAAAGACGGUUUUGCUGCCACUUAUAGAUGGAUCCGCGCCGCAUUAGCUAGUUGGUAAGGUAACGGCUUACCAAGGCAACGAUGCGUAGCCGACCUGAGAGGGUGAUCGGCCACACUGGAACUGAGACACGGUCCAGACUCCUACGGGAGGCAGCAAUAGGGAAUCUUCCGCAAUGGGCGAAAGCCUGACGGAGCAACGCCGCGUGAGUGAUGAAGGUCUUCGGAUCGUAAAACUCUGUUAUUAGGGAAGAACAAAUGUGUAAGUAACUAUGCACGUCUUGACGGUACCUAAUCAGAAAGCCACGGCUAACUACGUG